AUGUGCUUCUACUUAAUUCUUCCACUAACUUCAUAUGUCACAACGAAAUGUAAGCAAUUCAUACGUGCCAAAUGCAGAAGGCAAUUGCAGCUCCAGCUUAUCUCUUCCGCUUCGAAGAAACUAACCUAGGAUUUCCAAAAUCCCAAUUCAAACCUGCAAACAACAACGAAAAAAAAUUGGUCAAUUUAACAACACCCAGAGAAAAGAAAAUUGAAAUGCGAUUUCAAACCUGAAAUAUAAGCGAUUAAAACUUACCACUAGCAGGAGGCGACUACAACUCGAGCUUCCAGUUCGAAGAAACCAACCUAGGGUUUCCAAAGUCGCGAUUUCAAACCUCAAAACAACAAUAACCAAAAAUUGGUCAAUGUAACAACAAAAAGAGAAAACGAAAAUACAAAUUAGCCUUAAAGCUUCAAUUACUCACCGCGUUCGACAAAUGAAAGCCUAAUCCACACAACUCGCGAUGGCAAAGUUCAAUUGGAAAAAACACUGAUGCGGAAGAAACUUUGGUUCAGAGAGGGAGAAGAGAACAACUGCGGGACUGACAAUGAAGAAGAUCAGUGAAGAAGAGGUGCAGGAAUGAAGGUUCGCGAAGAGGGGCACGCGGGAAUGAAAGUUCAGAGUUGAAUGUAUUUUAAUACUUUUUUCAGAGCUUAAUGUAUUAAACCCAUACGACAAAUACAUACGGAAAAUCCGUAUAGAAAGCCUGCGCCAAAAUUACAUACGACAUAUACAUACGGAAAAUCCGUAUGUAAUUAUUUCUCCAAUUAUAUACGGAUUUUCCGUAUAUAAUUCUUUCUUCCCGUAUCCGUACAUAGCAUCCGUAUAUAAUACGUUUAUUACAUACGGAUUAAAUCCGUAUAUAAUUAUCUGUAUAUAAUUGGCUUUUUUCUUGUAGUGACUCAAACUUGACACUUAGCUUCACUCAAGGGCAAGUACGUGUGGUUCUUCAGGAAAAGUGGCGCUCAGCACCCCAAAAGGGGGGCCCAAGCGGUGUACGACACCUUCUGGCGUUGAGGGCUUCUGAAAGGGUGCUCAAGCUUCGUGCGUUCCUUCCUUCUGGUGCUUUUCCAAACCUUUCUAAACUCCAUCUCCUUGGCACUUCGGCUCUACUUUCCAUAUUAUCUCAUUUCCUGCCAAAAC
rnacentral:lncRNA from 1 species